rnacentral:lncRNA from 1 species
CAAAAGCAGAACAAUUGUCAAUUGUGAGUGUGGAUGGUGAUAACAUGUUGAGCACCUCCUUUUAGAGAGAUAUUACCAUUAUUGUUUGUGUACUCCAAAGCAUUCCAAUCCCAGAGGUCAAGAAACUCAAGUGAAGGGACGUAACUAGAUUGUCAUAUGAAUUGGUAAGAUGUGAAACUCACUCAAAUUGUUGGUGUUCUACUGCAUAUGAAUAUCAGAAAAAAUCAGAACUCCAAACAAAGUAGAUCAAUUUAAACAAAAUGAAUGGGAAGUAAUAAAUUAAAUAUUAAGAAUUCUUAACACGCUUGCAUAUGCAUAUGAGAAUCAGGAAAACAGAACUAUAGAAAAAGUAUAACACUCUUAUAACAUUGUAAAAUAAUAACAAGAAAAUUUGAAGCCAUCAAAAAAUAGGAAAAAGACUGCAUUGUAAACCUGAAACAUUGUUGAUGGCAUGCUCAAAUUAGAGAGACUAGGAGUAGUUUAUGAAUCAGCCAAUAUGAAUCAGCCAAUCUUUGCUAGUCGAUAUCUCAAGUGGGCCCUUUGGUGUAGUUCUAGAUUCUCUUGGAUAAAAAUUUGAACUGAAAUGAGCCUUAUUGCUCCAACCACUCCCCUAACCACAGGAUUUACACAUGGACAGGCUAACCCUUCCAUGUUUAUAUGACACUUAUAACACAAUUGCAGGAAUUAUAGAAAUCUUAGGCCAGUCUUAACCUUUUCCUUUUGUCAUGUUUCUAGUAAGUAUAACAACAGUGGAUUGUGACUUUUUGUAAAGUGCUCAUAGGCAGAUCCCUUCUCACCACCAUUUCAAUCAGAGCAGUUAGCAAUCUAAAGCCUCAAUUUUCAAGACAACUUAAGGCUUCAAGGGUUGUAAGACAAAGAAAUUAGGCUACCCCCUCCCCCCACUACCAUUUCAAUCAGAGCAGUUAGCCAUUUAAAGCCUCAAUUUUCAAGACAACUUAAGGCUUAAAGGGUUGUAAGACAGAAAAAUUAGGCUACCUCCCCUAUGCAUUUUCAAUAACGUGGGAGAAAUGAGGUGCUAGAUAGUAGGAGAUAUAUUAGUCUAUGACAAUUCUCACUUUCUAGUUACCUUAAAAGGUGAGGUGGCAACACUAGGAGACAUAUUAGAGAGUUGAGACAACUGCUUCAAUAUCCAGUUUUUCUUUGACUUGGCAACAAUUACAUCUCAAAUAAAAGUUAACCCAAAUUUCCAAAACUUGUAGAAUGGCGAACGAAGUAACAAGAUCUUAUAUUGACUUAUAGUCAUCCAGGUACAAAGCACUAGCAAGUUAUAUCUUUGAAGAUACAAAUUUCUAAAUUUACUAAUCUAAUGAAUUAAUGAAAGAGGUGAAAAAUGACAAAAAUUACACAAUUACUUUGUCCAAAAACUAUUAAUUAACAGAAUUAGACUCUUAACAGAUGUUGCUCAUUUUCAAUACUUGGUUAAUGAUUUCUAGCCAAACGAUCCCUAUAUUGCUCAUAAAGGGACAGUCCUAUACCUAAAAAAAAUUACAAAUAGGGUGGAAUAAUAAGGAAGUCUUUUGCCUAGUUUUGUUUGGUUAGAAUGACAUUUUAAAAAUAAUUAAAGGCAUAGUGAUAGACUUUUGUUUUGUCUAUGCUAAUACACAUAGGGAAAAGACAAGAGAACUACUCUACAAAAUUUACACUUAAUGUUUGUGACUUGUUCAAUUUGAUUACAGUCCUAGUAAAUAUGAGAAAUAACAAAUGAGCACAACAGUCUUAACAGAUUGAUAAUUAAAUUAAAAAAUAAUACAACCAUCCAUAGUGGGGAGAUUACCUAAAAUAUAUGGUACAAAGCAUCUAGGAUUGAAAAAGAUAGCAGGAAUUCUUUCUACAUCAGACAUCUAUAAAUAUGAAUUUCAGGGGAAUGAGAAAUGUUUAAGCCAGUUCAAAACUUGUUACCUUCUUGAAGUGCUUUCAAGCUCAAACAGGCUACUGUAGGGAGUGAUUUCACGUUGGGCCAAGGACUAAUCACAAGCUUCUUAAGUAAGGUGCAAUCUGUGACAAAAUACUAAAUAAAUCAACCUUAGCAUUUUCCUAAACACUCAGAAAGCAAAAAUUAAAGUAACAUAAUUACUUGGUACAUGGUAUAAGUAUUUGAUUGCAUAAAAUGCAAACAUAAAAAACAAAAUUGUUAUUUUCUAUACAUGCUAAUGAAUACAAAGAAUUAUCAAGGCAGAACUGUAAAUACAACAUACUGAUUGGAAAAUAGUAAAUAUGAAGCUAUAAAAAUGAGAUGACAUCUUGAGAAUUUAGACCUGAAGUAGCUUUCUGUACUAGUCUUUGUAGGGCGCUAAGGGAAUGCAUCUCUUCUGGCAGUGAUAUAAGGGCAAGAAUAAAUUCAAAGCUCCAUAGGUGCUAUAAGCCUGCAUAUCCAAUCUGGUAAUGUUAUCAAUUGAGACCAGUGAAGAAAGAGUCUGAUGCAAGUAAGAGAAGUCUUUACCUUUGCACCAACCCUCAAUAGCUUUUUUCCAAGGCAUGGGCAAUAUUCAGCCCAUCCUCACCAUCAUCCUUAUUUGCAAUGGCAUAUAAGAAACCAUUGGGCCAAUGAAUAACCAUGAGUUUCUUAAACAAGGUGAAAUCUGCAAGAAAAUAGUAAUCAAAUCAACCCUAGCAUUUUCCCGAACUCUUGUAAUGCAAAACUUAAAGAGUAAUAUGAUUAGCUUGGUCCUCAAUGACCAUUUAAUGACUUGUCUAAAUUGUACAUUGAUUUAAUGAUGCAAACCUUUCAACUUAGUGACUUCUUCAAAAUUAUAAUUUUAUCAAAUAAUUUGGCAGUAAAUAAUAAAAAUUGCAGCUAUUAAAAACAAGAAGAAACAUUGAAUUGUAAAACUGAAAUAUAUUGUAGAUGACAUGCUUGAAUUAAAGAAUAUCCUUCAUGAAUCAAUCAUCCAUUACCGGUCAGUAUCAAUUCUGGAAACAUUGAAAAACUGAGGAGCACAGUGAUUCAAAUUCAGGGCAGACAACAUUUUGUAGCUCAUUAAGAGAUCUUUGGAUGCUUAUCCAAUCUGAUAAAGUUGCUAAACAAGAACAGUAUUUUAAGAAUUUCCAGAAUGGUAACAUUUUGAGGCAUCAAUGAUGGAGGCACCAACUCAAGCUUCUGAGUCCUUGCAAUUUGCACGUGAACCUCAUCCCCAUUAUCUGACAAAAGAAGUUGCCUACAACAUUUAUUCAAGGUCUCAAAGUUAAUAUUGAAUCCACUGGUGGAGAUGUCCAAGCACUACCAUUAUCACUUUUUACAGCAAACUGAAAACAAUUAUGUGUAAUAAAACCAUUAACCUAUUCCAAACAUAAAAUAGAAAGAUCAUUUCAGCAAAGAAUUAUAAUAGUUAAUUUUAACCAUGAAAAUAAACAUCAUUAGUAAUUGAUAUCUUUAAAGAUAUGAUUUUCAAGCCAAACAAGUUCAACUAAAUUAUAAUACAUGAUGACUAAAUCAUAAUAUCAAUGGACUACUAUUUCUCUCUAUUCUAACGCUAUCAAUGGCUAACAUAAUAAUCAAGUGUAUUUAUCUAUGUUGUGUUUUGGUUUGAGUUGAUAUUGUAGAAAAUAGUAUAAAGCAUAGCAAUAGACUACCAUUUUGUCCAUCCUAAUACAUACACAGAGAGUAGAGAUAAGACAAGUAGUAUAGACAUUUUUUUCCUUUAUAUGAUCCAUUAAUAAAAAAAAUUAUCAAUGAGCAUAACACCCUUAACAUAUCGAUGGUAAAAUUUAUGAUGCUGCAGCCAUCCCUACUGGGAGAAGGAUUACCAGAAAUAUACAUGCCCACUAGCAGACCUGAAUUAAAAACAGAGCAAAAGUCCUUUCUGCACUAGUCAUCUAGUAGAUA